GUCCAGCUGAGGAGUCCCAAAUGGGACGAAACGCGCAUCCUGGAU
rnacentral:hammerhead_ribozyme from 1 species